rnacentral:rRNA from 1 species
CGCCCGUCACACCAUGGGAGUGGGUUGCAAAAGAAGUAGGUAGCUUAACCUUCGGGAGGGCGCUUACCACUUUGUGAUUCAUGACUGGGUGAAGUCGUAACAAGGUAACCGUAGGGGAACCUGCGGUUGGAUCACCUCCUUA